AUUGAACGCUGGCGGCAUGCUUUACACAUGCAAGUCGAGCGGAAGCGCGGCCUUCGGGCUGGCGGCGAGCGGCGAACGGGUGAGUAAUGCAUCGGAACAUGCCCAGUCGUGGGGGAUAACACUUCGAAAGAAGUGCUAAUACCGCAUACGUCCUGAGGGGGAAAGCGGGGGAUCGCAAGACCUCGCGCGAUUGGAGUGGCCGAUGUCAGAUUAGCUAGUUGGUGGGGUAAAGGCCUACCAAGGCGACGAUCUGUAGCUGGUCUGAGAGGAUGAUCAGCCACACUGGAACUGAGACACGGCCCAGACUCCUACGGGAGGCAGCAGUGGGGAAUUUUGGACAAUGGGGGCAACCCUGAUCCAGCCAUUCCGCGUGAGUGAAGAAGGCCUUCGGGUUGUAAAGCUCUUUCGGCAGGAACGAAACGGUGGGCUCUAACAUAGUCCGCUAAUGACGGUACCUGAAGAAGAAGCACCGGCUAACUACGUG
rnacentral:rRNA from 1 species